rnacentral:rRNA from 1 species
ACGAACGCUGGCGGCGUGCUUAACACAUGCAAGUCGAACGGUGAAGCGCCUUCCUUUUUGGUGGGUGUGGAUGAGUGGCGAACGGGUGAGUAACACGUGAGUAACCUGCCCCCUUCUUCUGGAUAACCGCAUGAAAGUGUGGCUAAUACGGGAUAUUCUGGGUCUGUCGCAUGAUGGGUCUGGGAAAGAUAUUGUUUCGGUGGGGGAUGGGCUCGCGGCCUAUCAGCUUGUUGGUGGGGUGAUGGCCUACCAAGGCGGUGACGGGUAGCCGGCCUGAGAGGGUGGACGGUCUCACUGGGACUGAGACACGGCCCAGACUCCUACGGGAGGCAGCAGUGGGGAAUAUUGCACAAUGGGCGCAAGCCUGAUGCAGCGACGCCGCGUGAGGGAUGGAGGCCUUCGGGUUGUGAACCUCUUUCGCCAGUGAAGCAGGCCUGCCUCGUUUGUGGGUGGGUUGACGGUAGCUGGAUAAGAAGCGCCGGCUAACUACGUG